CCUACGGGGGGCAGCAGUGAGGAAUAUUGGUCAAUGGACGAGAGUCUGAACCAGCCAAGUAGCGUGAAGGAUGACUGCCCUAUGGGUUGUAAACUUCUUUUAUAUGGGAAUAAAAUGUUCCACGUGUGGGAUUUUGUAUGUACCAUAUGAAUAAGGAUCGGCUAACUCCGUGCCAGCAGCCGCGGUAAUACGGAGGAUCCGAGCGUUAUCCGGAUUUAUUGGGUUUAAAGGGAGCGUAGGUGGAUUGUUAAGUCAGUUGUGAAAGUUUGCGGCUCAACCGUAAAAUUGCAGUUGAAACUGGCAGUCUUGAGUACAGUAGAGGUGGGCGGAAUUCGUGGUGUAGCGGUGAAAUGCUUAGAUAUCACGAAGAACUCCGAUUGCGAAGGCAGUUCACUGGACUGCAACUGACACUGAGGCUCGAAAGUGUGGUUAUCAAACAGGAUUAGAUACCCGAGUAGUC
rnacentral:rRNA from 1 species